GCCGCCAGAAGUGGGCUCCGGGCGCUACCACCUGCCACGCACACGGGCGCCUCCCUGCACCUUCCCAGGGGGUGAGACAACCAAGGGAGCCACGGGAGGUUCUGGGUGCGAGUGGCAUGUUCAGGAGCAGACUCCAAACACUGCCUCAGCGGGCCCAGGCCUGGCGUGGGGGGCCAGGAAGGAUCCCAGGGUCAGGGCAGCGGUGGGGGCCCCUGGGUCAGCUUGUUCCCCUGCCCCAUGAGGCAGCCUCAGCCCUGGGUCCCCAAGCAGCUGACUCGCCUGCCUGGGAGGGGCUCUGGGCCUGGUCGAAACCCUGUACUGGCGCGUCUCAGAAACCGCGAGUCAGCGGCUCCCCGCUGCCAGGCCUGCCACUGGGAGCCGCCCAGAUGAGCGUGGCGGGCAGAGGGCUGGGAUGGGCAUCACUUGGGUCCCCGUGGGGCCCCAGCUGGGAGGCAGCAGGGAACCAGGCUGGCACAGGCUCAAGAAGGACAGAGGCGGAGGCUUUGGCCCGGUGGGGGUGGGGGUGCCCGCCUGCGUGCCUCCGAGCAGGCUCAGUCGUGUCUGACUCUCUGCGACCCCGUGGACUGUAGCCCACGAGGCUCCUCUGUCCACGGGAUUCUCCAGGCAAGAAUACUCGAGUGAGUUGUCAUUUUCUUCUCCAGGGGAUCUUCUGGACCCAGGAAUCGAAGCUUUGUCUCCUGAAUUGGCAAGCAGACUUUACCACUGAGCCGCACAGGAAGCCGGGGGCACCUGCAGCCCCCCUCAAAUCUCAGCCAGCAGUGCUGGGGAGUGACUGAAGGGCCCACUUCACUGAUGGGAGGAUGGACUCUGCAAGGAACCUCCGGGGUCACGGCACCCACCCCCGGGGGCCACGUGCCCUGACCCCUACCUGGAGCCAGUCGGGCCGUGAGAGGCCAGGCCCCCGAGAGGAGUGGACGGUGCUGGCGCAGGGGCCUCCAUGGGCCUGCUGGACAUCCUGGCCACCACACCCCCACCCGGCUCAGGCGGGCCCAGCAGGCAGAAUGCCAAGGCUGCUGCCUGGGGUCAGGCCUGGGGCGGGAGCCAGGCGGCCCUGAGCAGCAGGAAGUGAGGGGCUACGGGCCUGGGAUGGGGGUUUUCUGGGGGUGGGGAGCCUGGCCAGAGAGCAAGUGCAGAAUUCCUUCCAUUCCUUUCGUUUCUCUGUGAUGACUCAGCAGCUGUCCAUAGGCACUGUCUGUCCCACAGGCCUAGGGAUGUGCCCGCCGCGAGGGGGGCUGUCAUAGUGCCCCACCCCGGCUCCCCCUGCCGCUCAGUCCCAGGUGCGCCCACCCCCCAGCUGCCAGGCACCCACGCUCCGGGCUUGGCCUCCUUCCCGCCCAACCCCAGCCCGGCCUCCUGCAGACCUUCCCAGGGACCUGGCCCUGGGGCGGGGCGCAUGCCUGCCACAGGCCCUGCCCCCGGUGCCCCCAUGGGGUGAGCGUGGGGCAGGGGGAGGGACGGCCGCCGUGGGCUUUUGGGGCUCCCCUCUGGACAGGGGUCCCGCACGUCCAGCCCUGGCCGCAUCCCGUGCAGCGCUCUGGUCUCCUCCCUCUGGAGCGGGUGGGGCGGCUUCCCCGUGCCCCCUGGGGAGGAGGGGCCGGCGCUGCACGCCUGGAGGCCGCCUGGCCGGGGUGUCCGGCCGGGCUGGCACGGGGCCGAGGGGGAGUGGGAAGGAGAUCCCAGAAGGGCACGUGGACGGGGGGCCAUCGGGUGUCUGCAUGCCCACCCCCGGGGCUGCACGGGCCAGCCACUGCGUGUGCACAUGUGGGCGUGUUGCUGCCUGGGCCCUGAGCCUGGUUGACCAGCCACUGGGGCGCCCUCCCCCAGGCCCUGAACACCCCGGCACUGGAAGCCAGUGGGAGUGUGGGGUAUUCAGGGAUGAGCUGGACAGGAGUUGCAGGUGCCCCCUUUAGACAGGCCCACUCAGCUCCUGCAUCCCACCCGCCAGCCACAGCCACCUCCUGGGAACCAGCCCGGUCACCCGUCCUGAACCAGAUGCUCUGCCCAGGCCGCCUCGGGCCCCAGGAGCAGGCUGCCAGGGAACCCUGGGCAGAGACAAGGACAACUCCCACUUGGGCUUCAGGGGUCCUGCGGACUCGCCCAGUCGGCGCUGAGCCUGAACUUGGGGGGCUGGCCCAGAGCUCCAGCAGCCCUGGACACCCCUCGUUUCGCAGCUCUUGCCUCCUUCCCUCCCAGCCCCCAGGACUACGCAAUCAGCCAGGAAAGGCCGCCAGCCUAGCUCCGGGUCACCAGACUCCCACCCCCAUCAGCCCCCACAGGCCUGGCCAGCAACCCCUGAACACUGCCGUUCCCAGCAGGCAGCGCUCUGAUCUGAAUGCCCUGGGCCCUUCGGUGCCCUGUGCAGACUGGCACUGGGCUGCCCCUGGGAACCAGACUGGGUCCCUCCAGCCACAGCUGCAGUGGAGAGAGUAUGGAAGGCCCCAUGGGCCCCCCAGGGCCUGUCUCACAGGCCUGUCCCCUGCUCUGGCCUGGCUCCACACUCGGCCUGCGGCCACCAGGGUUCAGCGGCUGCCCACAUGCCUGGGUCUGCUCCAGCGGGCGAAGAAGGUCAGCUGCUGCUCGGGUCGGGGAGCCUGGGCCCCAGUGCAGGGCUCUGAGCCCCACGAGGGUAGCCCUCAUCAGUGCAGCCUUCUUUCUCCUCCAGCAGAAGUUGGACCACGCUGUGUCUUCCUUGGAACCAACGACCCCCCCCCGCCCACCGCCAUGCCCAGGUGUGGGGGGCUCUUCCCUAGCUCUCUUAUUUCGGAACCCUUAAAGGACCACAGGGACUGGGGUGCCAGGUUUUGGGCUCUGAGCUGUGUGGGUGCGGCCUGGGGCUGGCAGGGAGGGGCCGGAUCGAGCCUGACCUGAAACUGUCAUCCCUCCUGCUCUGCUUUCCAAGCCUGAUCCAUUCUUGGGCGAGGCUCCCGCCUUGGCAGUGACAGCCUCCUGUCGUCCCGGCCGGGCCAGCUGCCGCGCAGGGCUCACCCUUCUCCGGCAGCCCCCAGACACCGCUCUGUCUGUGACGCAGCGUGAGUGUGGAACGGGGGGUGCGUGCGUGUGCUGAGCCUGGGCAGUGACACAGCAAAUCUUCGACAUGCGUCUCCAAGGCCGUCACUGCGUCUUGACCCCUUGUUUACUGUGACCAGGCCCUCCCUGGUCCAUGCUCUGGACAGCCUGAAGGUCCACUUGAGCAGGCAGUUUUCUGUGGCCUGAGUGUGGUCUGACCAUUCAUCCUGGGACUGAAUGAAACUCCCCUAAGACGAGGUCAUUCCUGCCGCAGACCCUGGGCCCCAAGGUCUCCACGGGCCCCUGGCCGGCUCCCAGCGGCACAGCUCUGACCCCGCCUGGCUGCACGCCCCUCCCCCACCCUGGUUCAGCCUCCAGACUUGGCUGCGCUCUGCCUGCUCCUCCAGGACGCCCCCAACGGGGGCCCCGCAUGGCCCCUGGAGCCGCAUGCAAGCCAGAGGCACACACAGGCUGGCUGGUCCAGCCCCCCACUCUGCGGGGGUCCCCCUGCAAGGCCGCCUCUUCUGUAUCCCUUCCUCGUCCACGCUAGGGGCCAAGCAGAGGGGACGGCAGGACCCCACCCACCCGGCACCACCCACAAAGGCCGCCCGAGGCUCCCUGGCCGGGUCUCAGAGGCUGCGUCUGCUCCUGGGUUGGGGCACGAGGCUCCUGCAGAGGGUGGCCCCACUGCCCCCAGCCCCCGGCCCCGUGGCCUUUGCCUUUGGGGACAGGACAGGCUAUGGGUCCAGGAACCUGGAGCAGCCUGACCCCACGCGGAAGACCCUGUGGACCACCCACUGGUCCCCAAGAAAAACCCACAAGAAGAUGGGAGUCUCUGGACUCCACUGCAGGGGUGGGCGCCCUGCCUUGGAUCUGACCCUGUGAGUAGCUCUUACCAGCCCCAGGUCCGUGGUGAACUGGCCAGCCCUGGCCUCAUGUCCACAUGGCAGGAGGGCAGUGGACAGAGUUCCAGGGAGAUAAGAACCCAAGAGCUGUACCAGUGCAAGGUCCACUCUCUGCCCUGAGUCAGCGACAGUGGCAACCAAGGGGUGUGACUUGGGGCAGGCUGGGCAGGCUGGCCAGGGCCUCGGAGGCACAUGCUUGGAGGGCGCACCUGAAGGCAACCUCUCUCGGGUGGGCCCAGGGGUGGGGCUGCAAUGAUGUGACCCCAGCCUGGCCCCCAGGGGCCACACCGAGUAUCUGCAAUGCCAGAAGGACCAGCACCUUGACCUCUUGGCUCCCCCAAUCCCCAAUCCUCUCUAGAUGGCUGUGGGAAGCAGUGGGCAUCUGGGCUCAGCGGGGGGGGGGGGGGGGGGGGGUGGAUGGGAAGCUGGCAGACGGCUGCUCACACCUGAGCUGCUCAGGCUGGUGGUGACCUUGGGCUGAGGUCGGCAACCGUGGGGCCGAAUGGGUCUGUGCUGUAUAGAAGGCGGAGAACGGGCUCAGGUCCAGACCACGGCCAUGAAGACCUGGGCUGGUGCCAGUCCUGACACAGGCGGUCAAGGUGGCCUCCCUGGUAAGGUGGACAGCAGCUGGGCCUGGCAGGCAGCCAGGUGGGUGGAGCGCAGGGGACUGCCCUGCAGGCACGGGGACAGCGGGUCAAAGGUCCCCGGGGGCAGGCACGGUCAGGAAGGCCCUCGGGCUGCAGGUGUGAGGGCAGGCCGAGUGGAGACUGUGGUCCGGGGUGGGCAGGACGGAGCCUCACCCCAGGCGGGGGCUUCGAGUCCGGGGGCGCGGCCUGCCCAGGGGUCACGAGCACAGCCCGGGGCACCGGAAGCCGACUCCCGAAUCCCGCGGCUCCUCGCAGCCCAGUCGCUGCAUUCCCUGCGGGACCGCCGGCGCCGGACCGGUCUCGCCGGUGACCUUCCCAGCGCGGCCUGGGGCGGGGCUCUGACCGCGCCCCGCCCGGGCGUCGCCAAUGGCUAGGCCCCGUGCCCUUCGCAAACGCGGGCUCCCAUUGGCUCCCGCGGCUCCGCCCCGAGCGCGGGAGCGGGCGCCCGUGUGCGCGCGUAGGAGUGACGUGUGCCACCGCGCCCCGCCGCGCCGUGCGCCUCCGCGGCCUCGCUCCCGCUAGCUAGUCCCAGCCGGCUCGCCGCGCCCUGGGCCUGCCCCGCCCACCCCGGAAGCCGCGCCGCUGUCCUCGCGCCACCGCCCGGGCGGAGGGGGCGGGGCCCGGCUUGGCCCGCCCCCGCGGAGGGAUACG